rnacentral:rRNA from 1 species
CAGUAGCCGCGGUAAUACGUAGGUCCCGAGCGUUGUCCGGAUUUAUUGGGCGUAAAGCGAGCGCAGGCGGUUAGAUAAGUCUGAAGUUAAAGGCUGUGGCUUAACCAUAGUACGCUUUGGAAACUGUUUAACUUGAGUGCAAGAGGGGAGAGUGGAAUUCCAUGUGUAGCGGUGAAAUGCGUAGAUAUAUGGAGGAACACCGGUGGUGAAAGCGGCUCUCUGGCUUGUAACUGACGCUGAGGCUCGAGAGCGUGGGGAGCAAACAGGAUUAGAUACCCCUGUAGUCCCUGUCUCUUAUACC